CUCUUCUUGAGUAUAAUAUGAUGUAUGGCCUGCCCACUGAGUGUUGAAGGGCCGCGGUAUUUUGACCGUGCAAAGGUAGCAUAAUCAUUAGUCUUUUAAUUGUAGGCUGGAAUGAAUGGUUUGACGAGGUGAUAACUGUCUUUAAUUUUUUUAUUGAAUUUAAAUUUUAGGUUAAAAUGCCUAAAUGUUUUUUUGGGACGAGAAGACCCUAUAGAGUUUUAUACAUUUUUAUUUUUUUGUUUGUAAUUUUUUAAUGUAAAAAUUUAUUUUGUUGGGGUGAUGGGAAGAUAAAUUUAACUCUUUUUGAUUUUUUAUAUUUAUUUAUAUGUAUUUGAUCCAUUUUUAUUGAUUAUAAGACUAAAUUACC
rnacentral:rRNA from 1 species